UGAAAACCGGCAGGUCUAUUUGUAGA
rnacentral:piRNA from 1 species